GUCCCCAUAGCUCAGCGGUAGAGCAGCGGAUUCUUAAUCCGCGGGUCGCAGGUUCGAAUCCUGCUGGGGACACAA
rnacentral:tRNA from 1 species